GUCCAGAUUCAAUUUGGGCCAUUGGGCUCAUUUGGGCCAUUGGGCCAUUGGGCUCAUAUUUUCUUAUGUGUGUGUGUGUGUGUAUGUGUGUGUGUGUGGGAAAAGAAUCAUUUGUUUGAUCCAAAUUUUAAAUUAUACAUUCUUUUCAUCCUAAUGAACAAUCACUAAAAAGAAAAUUUUGAAAACACAAUCGAAAAAGUAAUUUUUUAGCCUAAUUAACAUAAGCCAUCCAUUUUGAUAAGAUGCUUAGAUUUAGGCCUUAGAAGGAUUUUUAUUUUCCAAUUUUUUUUAGAUGCCUUUAGUAUCAUCUGAUGAACAAUAAAAAAGAAAAAUAUAAUUUUGAGUUUGUAAAAGUUAAGAUCUUGAAAUUCACCAAAUUAAUGGUUUAGAGUCGUUGUUGGAGGG
rnacentral:lncRNA from 1 species